UUUUGAUGUCAAAUAGCAGACUUAUUUCUAGAAAAUUGUCAAUAAAAAAUUGAAAAUUAAGUAGACGCAUGAAAGUGUGAUUAUUUUUGAAUAUUUUAUCGUAUUGAAAAGUCGAAAUAAUUUAUUUUUGACUGAGGAAACUAACCAAUUGUGAGAUCUCUAAUCGAGAGAGAUUACAAUAUAUUUAUAAAUAUUAACCGAUUACAAAACAAGAAGGUAUUCAGUCCAGACCUGUAUGUAUGUUUAUGAGCGAUUUUCUUACGUUUGGCUGAACUGAUUUUGGUCCAGUUUUUAGCUAAGUAUUUUUCAGUCUUAGGGGAAGGUUACAGGGAUAUUUAAUACAUGAGUUAAAACAAAGAGGCGGUAUAGAACAUUUCAGUCGGUUCCCUUAAUAACCUUUUUAUACAACCUAAAUUUUUAAUACAUUGCAAAAUGUGAAUUUCUUUGGUAUUUAAUAUGAAGAUGUACACUAAUUACGUUGUUACUGAGAAAUUUUCGAAAAUGCCGAAAUAGUGUAGGUACAUCACAUAAUGAUUUUCAGAUUAUUUUUUAAAACGUUGCCCCACAUUAGGUAUUUCUCCCGUCGUGGGUGCGUUUACAAACAUACAAGUUCACAUGCACAUGACACCCAGACCCGAAACAACAAUUUGUGGAUCACACAAAAAGUUGCUCUGUGUGGGAAUCGAACCCGCUACACGUUGCACGGCAGCCAGUUGCCCAGCCACCGCGCUAACGGUCCAAUUAAAUCGAGUAUAGUUAAGAAAACAUGCUGCGUAGCGGUGCGUAGCGCUACGGUGGGCGUCGUAGCGCUACGCCGUAGCAAGGCUACGGAAUACAGACAGGCUACAGAAAACAGUCUCUGGCCACAUUAUUAGACGCACUCUUGUAUUUUGUUCAAUAUGUGAUUUUUAUAUGAGUUUAUUUGUGUUUAUGUUCAAUAAUUUUACGUUUGAGUGUUUAACAGGGUGUAAACGGAAUGCUCCUGAAAAACGCUACAUAUUUUAGGGAGGAAAUUAGUCCAAUGACUUCCUUAUGCGAGGCGAGAGGGAGUUUAGACUCUUACUGACUAAAAACCACCCCGUUCCUACUCCUGCUUUUUGAGCGGUUUUUAGUCAGUAAGAGUCUGACAUUCCCUCUCGCCCAAGGCGAGAGAAGUCAUUGGAUGAUUUUGACCCCUCAAAAAAUUGUCUACUAAAAAAAUGUGGGUGCGUCUAAUAAUGUGACCAUGGAUUGUAAAUUAUAAUAUAGUUAAUACAUUUUAUAUAUGUUUACAGAGUAUCACAACAGUAGCUAUAUUAUAUUGAAUAUAUUAUAAUUAUAUAAGGUGUUCUGAAAGAAUAUGCCACGGCUUUAAUGGGAUGUAGUGUUGUCUUUGAAGAUUACAAGUUAGGUCUUUAUUUUUUACCUCCCAUACCGCUGCAACUCCUGUAAGCCAAGAUCUACAGUAGAUACAAACAUGAAAACACUAGAAUACUGAAGUCUGGCGCGUCACAGGGACAUGAAUGACUGUCUUGGAUCCCGCAACGAAACAAAUCAGAAGAUGUUAUUAGAGGAGAAGAAAAAGAAAACGAUAGUUUCUACUUCCCUCGGUGAAUUUAAUGCAGGAGACAGAAUGACUUAAGCCUAAAGGCUCCAAAGAGACUGCAUAACUGGGAGAAGCCCAGUCGCCAGGCACCACGGAAAUUUGACUUAAAACUAAAAUACUAAAUGGGUCCUAUGCGUGAGCUGUUAUACUUGCUUCCAAUAAUAGGUAUGGCAAAAACGCCUAAACGCACGGAAAUUUGCUCGAGACUCCACAAGGUCCGUGUUAAGUUACAGGUUAGGUAUAUGAAAUGGUUCAUGAAUGAUUUUAAUCGACUCGGUUUUUUUGGGCAUUCCCUUUUAGUGAAAAUGGGACUUACUAAAGAGAUCCCUUAUAUUCGAAUAACUUGUAGACGGUUCUGGUUCGGGAAGCAGUUCUUCAUCAGAGAUUGGCCUUUCAUUCUCAUCACUUGUCAUUAAAGUAACGCCCAAUAGUUUUAUAGGCAACAUGUCUGUGUCACGGAGAUGUCCUAGACCGUAGUCUUCCGCGUUUUGCGUCGUAAUUUCCACCUUACUAGGUCUCAAGUCUCUGUACUUCAAUUUCUCGGCCAUCUCCUGAAUUUC